AAAAGGUAAAGGACUAAGUACAUACUUUUGUUUUUUUUUGUUUUUUGAGAAAUAGGUAGCACGCUACCCGCUUUGUUUUAUUUCAUUUAGAAAUAAACUUAGCUGUAAAUGUGAAUCAACUAGAAUUCAAACUUGAAUCAACUAGAAUUCAAACUUGGGACCUCGGGUACCAACCACCAAACCUUUUGCCACUUGCUCUAGAGACAGUCGGUAGUACAUACUUUUAUUAUUCUAGGAGUUAGGUGUAUCACAUAAUAUAUUGAAGAGGGUAAGUGCAUUUUAGCCUAAUAAAAAAUAAACAUUUAAAAACAGCUUUUUUUAUUUUAAUUUUUUUUAAAAAAUAAAUUAUUAUAUAUCAUUUAGUCAAAUUUUAUUAGAAGCUAACGAACUAUAAAAGCUUAAUA
rnacentral:lncRNA from 1 species